rnacentral:rRNA from 1 species
AGAGUUUGAUCCUGGCUCAGGAUGAACGCUGGCGGCGUGCCUAAUACAUGCAAGUCGAGCGAACCACUUCGGUGGGAAGCGGCGAACGGGUGAGUAACACGUAGGUGAUCUGCCCAUCAGACGGGGACAACGAUUGGAAACGAUCGCUAAUACCGGAUAGGACGAAAGUUUAAAGAUGCUCCUGGCAUCACUGAUGGAUGAGCCUGCGGCGCAUUAGCUAGUUGGUGGGGUAAAGGCCUACCAAGGCGACGAUGCGUAGCCGACCUGAGAGGGUGAACGGCCACACUGGGACUGAGACACGGCCCAGACUCCUACGGGAGGCAGCAGUAGGGAAUCUUCGGCAAUGGGCGAAAGCCUGACCGAGCAACGCCGCGUGAAUGAAGAAGGCCUUCGGGUUGUAAAAUUCUGUUAUAAGGGAAGAAAGGUGAUAGGAGGAAAUGACUAUCAAUUGACGGUACCUUAUGAGAAAGUCACGGCUAACUACGUG